ACUCUAGUAUUAACCUCAAUCCACAUGUGUUGAGAUGGAUUGAGGUGUAAAUUAGUUUAAGUUACACCCCAAUCCACCUCAAUAUAUGUGGAUUGGGGUUAAUAUAAGA
rfam:Zea mays cultivar B73 chromosome 6, whole genome shotgun sequence.